AUUGAACGCUGGCGGCAGGCUUAACACAUGCAAGUCGAGCGGGGGAAGGUAGCUUGCUACCGGACCUAGCGGCGGACGGGUGAGUAAUGCUUAGGAAUCUGCCUAUUAGUGGGGGACAACAUCUCGAAAGGGAUGCUAAUACCGCAUACGUCCUACGGGAGAAAGCAGGGGAUCUUCGGACCUUGCGCUAAUAGAUGAGCCUAAGUCGGAUUAGCUAGUUGGUGGGGUAAAGGCCUACCAAGGCGACGAUCUGUAGCGGGUCUGAGAGGAUGGUCCGCCACACGGGGACUGAGACACGGCCCAGAAUCCUACGGGAGGCAGUAGUGAGUAAUAUUGGACAAUGGGGGGAACCCUGAUCCAGCCAUGCCGCGUGUGUGAAGAAGUCCUUAUGGUUGUAAAGCACUUUAAGCGAGGAGGAGGCUACUCUAGUUAAUACCUAGGGAUAGUGGACGUUACUCGCAGAAUAAGCACCGGCUAACUCUGUGCCAGCCGCCGCGGUAA
rnacentral:rRNA from 1 species